rnacentral:rRNA from 1 species
GAUGAACGCUGGCGGCGUGCCUAAUACAUGCAAGUCGAGCGAACGGACGAGAAGCUUGCUUCUCUGAUGUUAGCGGCGGACGGGUGAGUAACACGUGGAUAACCUACCUAUAAGACUGGGAUAACUUCGGGAAACCGGAGCUAAUACCGGAUAAUAUUUUGAACCGCAUGGUUCAAAAGUAAAAGACGGUCUUGCUGUCACUUAUAGAUGGAUCCGCGCUGCAUUAGCUAGUUGGUAAGGUAACGGCUUACCAAGGCAACGAUGCAUAGCCGACCUGAGAGGGGGCGCGGCCACGCUGGAAUUGAGACACGGUCCAGACCCUUGCGGGUGGCAGCCGGACGGGAUCUUCCGCGAAGGGAGAAAUCCUGAAGGAGCAACGCCGCGUGAGUGAUGAAGGUCGUCGGGUCGUAAAGAUCUGUUAUUUGGGAAGAACAUAUGUGUAAGUAACUGGGCAAGUCUUGACGGUACCUAAUCAGAAAGCCACCGCUAACUUCGGUC